rnacentral:rRNA from 1 species
UACGUAGGGUGCGAGCGUUAAUCGGAAUUACUGGGCGUAAAGCGUGCGCAGGCGGCGCCGCAAGUCGAGUGUGAAAUCCCCGAGCUUAACUUGGGAAUUGCGCUCGAAACUACGGUGCUGGAGUGUGGCAGAGGGAGGUGGAAUUCCACGUGUAGCGGUGAAAUGCGUAGAGAUCGGGAGGAACAUCAGUUGCGAAGGCGGCUCUCUGGACCAGCACUGACACUGAGGCACGAAAGCGUGGGGAGCAAACAGG